rnacentral:misc_RNA from 1 species
AAGAUUCUCUCAGCUGUGCGCUUCGGCUGCACGCUUUGAAUUAUACACACCUGUGAACCUCGGUUGCCCUCUCGGGCUUCCGCUUUAACAUCAAACAACAGUCUAGAAUGUAAAAACUAUAAAGUAA